GAUUUGCCUUCUUCUCAGCAUAGGAGAAAAUAAUGUGAAAUGCCUCCAGCUUCCCAGAGAUGGGACUUUCAAGAAAGUUGUCUACUUACACCUUGCACUGCUGAUCUCUUACCAUAAUUAAGCAUUAUUCUGAUGACAAAGGAGAUGAGAAGAGUCCACAGAUGUUGAAGUCCAGCUAGUGAGGCUGAACAGCUCCAGCUCUUUCAUCCUCUCCACGUAUGACAGAUUUUCCAGUUCCUUAGAUGUGACUUUGUGACUUUGGGCUGGUCCUAAUCCAGUAAAUCCACAUCUUUCUUAUACUGGGUUGCCCAGAAUUAUGACUGGAGCUU